rnacentral:lncRNA from 1 species
UUUUUUUUUUUUUGAGAAAAUUCCAUCUUGUUUCCCAUGAGCGUUGCACCAGUGUAGAGUCCCAGCCAGAGCACAAGGGGUUCCUUUUCCUCCACAUCCUCACGCGUUAUUUGUUGUCCGACGAUGGCUGUCGUCAGCUGGCGCAAGGUGGCAUCGCGUGGAGCUUUGGCUCCGCACUUGCUGUGCGGUCAGUGACGCUGAGCAUCUUCCCUGCUUCUGCUCACCAUCUGCAUGUCUUCUCGCCAACCGAGAUUCCCACAUGAUGAGUAAGGCUUGAACACACCCGCAACUGUGGUCUGAAUUGCUUUCACGUUUCCUUCUACUAGGAAAUCUCUGAUCAUCCCUAUACCUUAAGCUUGGGAUAAAAGGGCUGCCAUGUAUGUGAGGCUCAGAUUUUUUUUCCAUAUGUACUUUCAGAUGCCUGGUGAGGCUUGCAAGUUGCGUAUAAGCUUUGCCACACUCAUGACAUUUGUAAGGUUUUUCUCCAGUAUGGAUGGUUUUGUGUUGGGUAAGAUAUGAAUGCCUUGUGAGGGCUUUGCCACACUCAUCGCAUUUGUAAAGUUUCUCUCCAGUAUGAGUUCUUUCAUGACCCCAAAGUUGCGACCGUUCAAUAAAAGCCUUCCCACAUUCAUUACACUGAUAAGGUUUCUCUCCUGUAUGAAUUCUCUGGUGUGCUAUGAGAUUUGAACGCUGGGUAAAGUGCUUGCCACACGCAUUGCAUUCGUGUGGUUUCUCUCCAGCAUGCAUUUUCUGAUGUCUGCUAAGGUGUGAAAACUGGCUAAAAGCUCUGCCGCAUUCAUCACACUUGUAAGGUUUCUCGCCGGUGUGCAUCCUCUGGUGAUUUGCAAGGUGUGAAUUUCACCUGAAGACCUUGCCACACACAUCGCAUUUAUAAGAUUUCUCUCCAGUGUGGACUCGCUGGUGUGUGGUGAGGUGUGAAUACUGGUUAAAGGCUUUGCCACAAUCAUUACAGAAUGAAUGAAUUCUCUUGUGACUUGUGAGCUUUCAUCUUUUGCUAAAAGCCUUCCCGCAGUCACUACAGGUGUAAGCUUUGUCUCUAGGGUGUGUUCUCCUGUGUUGUGCAGGUAACAAAGUGUUUUUCACACUAGGGAGAAUUCUUUGAAAUGAUGACACUGAGGAACCACUGACAGACGUCUCCACUUGACUGUAUUCAUACAUUUUCUCCUCAGCUGGAAAUCUCUACAGUUCGGCCACCUCUGCCUGCAGCCUUCCUCCAGUCUUGCUUUCCAGAUGCUUUAUAUCUUUGUUUCCAGCAGUGCUUGUGUUACUUCUCAUUUUUAGCACAUUUCUCAGGAAUAGCUUGUCAUGCAUGACAGAUUCACAUGGGUGACUUCUUACAGAAACACUCCGAGGAAAAUUAACUGAGGAUUUAUGAUCCUGAUCUUCUCUAUGAGAUUCUGUUGAGGGUCAGAAACCCUUCUUUGUAAUGUCUUGCAUCACAUCCCCACUCACUCUCAAACUUUUGGGUAUUUUCAGAGUCUUCCUUGAGAUCGAAAUUCUGAAUGCCAUGACUUAGUCCUUUGCGGUAUCACUAGACGGCAUGAUUCUCCUGUAUCAAUGUCCUCUCUUGGUGAUAAAUCCUUGAUUGCACGUCCGGGAGAAUAGAUUCCUAUUGAGUUGGAAAAUAAAUAUAUUGAAUUACAUAAUUACAAAAAAAUAUAAUACAUAAGUUUCUCAAGAAUGGUCUUCAGACGCUGUGAUAGAUUUUUUCUCUUUUUAUACUUUUUCCCUUAAUUUUUUUCUCUGAUCCUGGAUAAUAAAGUUUCGAGCACACACGACACACAUUUUUUGCAAUAUGACUUCUAAUUAAAUGAUACACCAUAGUUAGAAAACUGACCUAUCUAGUGGCUUAUUGACCUGGAGGAAUGAAAUCAUAACCGAGAGUUCAGUCUUCUCUCCUCCUCAAACUUUAUAAUGAUGUGUUUAAAACGUGACUUGAGGCAAGAAAAAAAAAAUCUAUACAGUACAGUAAAAACUGAUAAAAACAUUUUCAGGGGAGUUCCCGUCGUGGCGCAGUGGUUGACGAAUCCGACUAGGAACCAUGAGGUUAUGAGUUCGAUCCCUGGCCUCGCUCAGUCGGUUGAGGAUCUGGCAUUGCUGUGGCUGUGGUGUAGGCUGGUGGCUACAGUUCCGAUUAGACCCCUAGCCUGGGAACCUCCGUAUGCCACAGGAGAGGCUCAAGAAAAGGCAAAAAAGACAACUACAAAAAAACAUUUUCAUAACCCAUGAUAAUCUAGCAGGAAAGGGGUUAUGUCGCUUGACGGGUGACUGUCCUGGGAGUCCCGGCCGACAACCGAGUCCUGUUCUGCUCGUGCAACGUCUGCACAGAAACCAGGCGAUGCUGUCGAUCUGAGCAAACGAUCUGUGGGGCUGGACGGGGCUGGAGCAGCUGAGACCCCGACCUUGGAAAAGACCUGCCUGACCUUGGAAAAGACCUGCCACCGCAAGAGUCGUAACCGUGACUCACGCUCCAGGCACUCGUGAUGGAGCACGACGGCGCAUACUGUGAGAAAAAGCACGUAUGUGUGCACGUGUGCCUGGGUCACUUUGCUGUACAGUAGAAACUGACAGAUACGGUAAACCAACUGUAAUGGAAAAAUAAAAAUCAUUUAAAAGCAAAAUUAAAUAAAAUGGGGAUAACAAA